rnacentral:rRNA from 1 species
UGAGGAAUUUUGCGCAAUGGGAGCAAUCCUGACGCAGCAACGCCGCGUGGGUGAUGAAGGCCUUCGGGUCGUAAAGCCCUGUCAGGUGGGAAGAAUGUCCCGGAACUGAACAGGUUUCGGGAGUGACGGUACCACCAGAGGAAGCACCGGCUAACUCCGUGCCAGCAGCCGCGGUAAUACGGAGGGUGCAAGCGUUAUUCGGAAUUACUGGGCGUAAAGCGCGUGUAGGCGGUCCUGCAAGUCUGAUGUGAAAGCCCCGGGCUUAACCCGGGAAGUGCAUUGGAAACUGCAGGUCGUGAGUACUGGAGAGGAUGGGGGAAUUCCCGGUGUAGAGGUGAAAUUCGUAGAGAUCGGGAGGAAUAUCAGUGGCGAAGGCGUCCAUCUGGACGGUAACGGACGCUGAGACGCGAAAGCGUGGGGAGCAAACA